GACGAACGCUGGCGGCGUGCUUAACACAUGCAAGUCGAGCGGUAAGGCCCUUUCGGGGGUACACGAGCGGCGAACGGGUGAGUAACACGUGGGUGACCUGCCCUCAGCUCUGGGAUAAGCCUGGGAAACCGGGUCUAAUACUGGAUAUGACUCCAUGACGCAUGUUGUGGGGUGGAAAGCCUUGUGCGGCUGAGGAUGGGCCCGCGGCCUAUCAGCUUGU
rnacentral:rRNA from 1 species